AUGAACAACCUCUUCUCCAGCUCGUGGAAGCGCGCGGGCGCGGGGGGCGACGGCGGGGACCUCGAGUCCGGCGGCGGCGGCGGCGGCGUGGAGAUGACGGCGCCGCCGGGCGCCGCGGCGGGGGCGAGCCUGGACCGCUUCUUCGAGGACGUGGAGUCCAUCAAGGACGACCUGCGGGAGCUGGAGCGGAUCCAGCGCUCCCUCCACGACGGCAACGAGUCGGGCAAGUCGCUCCACGACGCCUCCGCCGUGCGCGCGCUCCGCUCCCGCAUGGACGCCGACGUCGCCGCCGCCAUCAAGAAGGCCAAGGUCGUCAAGCUCCGCCUCGAGUCGCUCGACCGGGCCAACGCCGCCAACCGCUCCGUGGCCGGGUGCGGGCCGGGCUCCUCCACGGACCGCACCCGCACCUCCGUCGUGGCCGGCCUGCGCAAGAAACUGCGGGACGCCAUGGAGUCCUUCUCCUCCCUCCGCUCCCGCAUCACCUCCGAGUACCGGGACACGGUGGCGCGGCGCUACUUCACGGUGACGGGGUCGCAGCCCGACGAGGCGACGCUGGACACGCUGGCGGAGACGGGCGAGGGGGAGCGGUUCCUGCAGCGGGCCAUCGCGGAGCAGCAGGGCCGCGGGGAGGUGCUGGGCGUGGUGGCGGAGAUCCAGGAGCGGCACGGCGCCGUGGCGGACCUGGAGCGGAGCCUGCUGGAGCUGCAGCAGGUGUUCAACGACAUGGCCGUGCUGGUGGCGGCGCAGGGGGAGCAGCUGGACGACAUCGAGGGCCACGUCGGGCGGGCGCGCUCGUUCGUCGACCGCGGGCGCGAGCAGCUCCAGGUCGCCCGCAAGCACCAGAAGAGCUCCCGCAAGUGGACCUGCAUCGGCAUCGGCAUCCUGCUCGUCGUUAUACUUAUCAUCGUCAUCCCCAUCGUGCUCAAGAACACCAACAAGAGCAACAACAACAACGGCCAGCAGUAG
rnacentral:rRNA from 1 species